CAGGGAUGCAGUCAUCUGAAGACUUGACUGGGGCUGGAGAACCUCCUCUCAAGGCAACUCCCACACAAGCCUAGGAAGUUCAUUCUGGCUGUUGGCAAGGGGCUUCUGUUCCUUGCCAUGUGGACUGCUUGCCAUAGGCUGCUUGAGUGGCCUCAUCACAGACAUGGUGGUUGGCUUUCCCCAGAGUUUAUAUUCAUUUCCCUACGCUGUCUGAAAGAAGAUACCAUGAUCUAAUUGCCUAAGAAUUUAUUUCCAAAUAGUUGUUGACAGAGCCUGGAAGUCUCAGAAAGAUCAGAUGGAUCGUAUUCCUUCCUUUACUCAAGAGUUUUUUUUUUUUUUUAAUUAAAACAAAAAACCCAGCAACAACUAUGAUCCCUAAAGAACUUUCCUUUGUGGCACCUGGAGUAUUCAGUCAAUCAACAAGCUUUUCCUGGACAUAUGAUGGAGAUGAGACGUUCUCUAGGACUCAUAUUGGAAGCUAAACAGAAAACAGAUGCAGAUAAAUACAAUAAUCACAAAAGUGGGAUUGAGAAAGAGAGAGAGGAAUGGGGCUGAGGCUACAUCUAGGCAGCUGUGUGCAAUGAGGUGGAUUUAUUAAGGAAAAUGUUCCAGAAAAGAUGAACUUAAAGCUAUUCUAAAUAUUUGGGGGAAACUUGAGCAAAAGUUUGGAGAGAAAAGAAUGAAGACUGAAUUUUUAGGUCAUCAAAGAGAUGAGCAAGGGGUGGGCUGGAAUAUAGUAGGAGAUGAGGCUGGAAGGGGAGGGUGGAGACAGUGAUUAAGAUGGUUUUGAACAAACUGAUCUGCAAAGAGUUUGGUGUGGUUGGAGCAAUUAUAGGUUGGUGCAAAAGUAAUUGUGGUUUUUGCAAUUAAAAGUAAUGGCAAAACCGCAAUUACUUUUGCACCAACCUAAUAUUUUUGCGAGAGGAAAAAUUUUUUCAGUAUACUGUCUCCCAAACCAAACCAAACAAAAACAAACAAACAAAAAAGCCCAAACCAAAAAAAUCUUUGCUCAUUAAUAGAGACUCUUAGAAAGCCAGACCUUUAUAGGAAGAUGUGGGUUUAAGAUCUUUCACCACCUUCUUGAGCAACAUCCUGUUACCAUCAAGACUGAAGGUCAACCAACUGCCCAUGGAGGGAAGGCUUGAGAAAGCUUUUGCUGUGCCAAAAGGGGGAACUAUUUCUCCUGGAACAGAGUGGACAAAUGUGCAGCAGGUGAACAGAAUCAUAUUUGCUUUCCAGCUGUUGCACCAGCUGUGUCAUGCUGACAGUGGCCUCCACCUGUCUAACUCCUGCUUCCACCAAUUCAGAACCAAGAUAUUUUUAUACUCAUAUCCUGGUAUAAACCAACUGCUGAUGGAAGUUCUUUGAUGCUGAAUUUGGAAUCAAAUACAUUCUACUUUCUGGAAAUCCAUAUACUGGGUGGCUGCUUCAAUAGCAGCAGACACGAGAUGUAAAAUGCAGCAAUGGUCAAGGAAUUUCUCAGGGGAGGAAUCAAUCCUCUCAUUUUGGUGGAGGAACCUUGGAUACAGGGAGGAUGAGGGACUGACUCAAAGUCAUCUGGCAACUUAGAGACGAGGCCAGAGCUCCUCAAAUCUCCUAGCUCUGAAUCCAUGUUCUUUUUAUUGAGCGGGUCAUGACAUAACCCCCCAAAUGAGUGCAGCUUUUAAUCUCCCACAUCAAGGAGCCUGCUGUCUGCAGACUCAUGCAUACACAUCACGGUGGUUUCUGGGUGGUUGAUGCUCAUCACCCUCUGACUUCAUUUCUUUUUUCCUUUGCAAAAUGGCUAUUGCCCAGAGGCAGCAUCUCUUUUCUAAAAAGUGAACAUGCCAGAAGGGUUUUUGGAAACUGCCUUGCUAUCUGUCAGGAGCCAGAUGAUUCACAGGGAUGAACCAAUGUACAUAACAAGGAUACCUGAUUGGAUUACCAAUUAGCCGUCUCCACCUCUGCAGGGUGGUUGGAAAGAAGAGAAAAGGCAGUGUUUAGUUUGGGCAAAUACCAAAAGGACUUUAUCAUUCUCAUCAAGGCAUCAGCGUGGCACAUUAGACCUCUUCCAAGCCAUUCCACUGGAACUUCUCUCUCCAAAUGCUCCAGCAAGAGUAAACUUGUUAUGCAAACAUUGGAUCAUUGUGUCUGAGCUACAGAAGCACCUCUGUGUCGGUGAAAGGGGAGAAACUGGCUGACUUGCGUCUGUUUUUAAUGAUGUCGCUGCUGCUGGGAAAAUUUGGAAGCUGCAGGGGUGAUUAUUCUGGAGCCAGUGGCAGAUGCUACAGGAGGGAAGAGGCAUCUUUCAGCAGGAAGCGCCUGUAACAAGUGGCCGCUUCUGGCCUUGUGGAGUUUCACGUUCCUUUGUUUAUCUUUAAAAACAGGAUGAGAAUGAGAAUAUAUUAAUUG
rnacentral:lncRNA from 1 species